rnacentral:rRNA from 1 species
UACAGAGGGGGCAAGCGUUAUUCGGAAUUAUUGGGCGUAAGGGCGCGUAGGCGGCUUUGCAAGUGACGGGUGAAAGCCCUCGGCUUAACCGAGGAACUGCCUGUCAGACUGUGAGGCUUGAGACCGGGAGAGGUGAGUGGAAUUCCCAGUGUAGCGGUGAAAUGCGUAGAUAUUGGGAGGAACACCAGUGGCGAAGGCGGCUCACUGGACCGGAACUGACGCUGAGGCGCGAAAGCGUGGGGAGCAAACAGGG